GUCUGCAUGGCUCAGUUGGUUAGAGCGCCGGUCUCAUAUUUCAAGUGAGCGUCUUAUACGACGUGUAAUCCGGAGAUCGCCAGUUCGAUCCUGGCUGCGGACA